rnacentral:rRNA from 1 species
UACGUAGGGGCCAAGCGUUGUCCGGAUUUAUUGGGCGUAAAGAGCUCGUAGGCGGUUCGGCAAGUCGAAUGUGAAAUCUCCACGCUCAACGUGGAGGGGUCAUUCGAUACUGCCGUGACUCGAGUCCGGUAGGGGAGUGUGGAAUUCCCGGUGUAGCGGUGAAAUGCGCAGAGAUCGGGAGGAACACCCGUAGCGAAGGCGGCACUCUGGGCCGGUACUGACGCUGAAGAGCGAAAGCGUGGGGAGCGAACAGG